GGAUAAUCUUCCAUGCGAGUAUAUUAUUCACGGUCUGCCGGUAAUGAAUAAUAUAUCUCAUGCACUCUUCAGUCGAAGCCUUUUGUGUUUCCCCAGUCGAGUAAGAUUCGUUAUUUCCCUUUGUGGAGUCGAAUAUUUCUUUGUUGUCGGAUAAUUGCCGGAUGCUUGCAAUUUAUCCUUUGAGUUGUCUUUCGUUUACCCGUAUGCUUG
rnacentral:lncRNA from 1 species